GGAGAAGAGACGUCCGUAGCGCAGGCUGUGUCCAGCCCUGAGGGUCCCAAAGGAAUGGCGGGGACACCCGGGAGGUGCUAAGCGGGUUCCUGCAGAAUGUUGGGCAGAAAUCAUCAGAGUCCCAAGAGCAGAGGAAAUUGCGCCCUAGCUCACCAAGAUGCUUCAAGACUGCUGUUUAAGUGGGAAUCUCUUCCCCUCCAUCCCCAAAGCAAAGUGAAAAAACAUUAAAUCACAAUUCAUCAGCACUCUCA